rnacentral:rRNA from 1 species
GAUGAACGCUGGCGGCGUGCCUAAUACAUGCAAGUCGAGCGAACGGACGAGAAGCUUGCUUCUCUGAUGUUAGCGGCGGACGGGUGAGUAACACGUGGAUAACCUACCUAUAAGACUGGGAUAACUUCGGGAAACCGGAGCUAAUACCGGAUAAUAUUUUGAACCGCAUGGUUCAAAAGUGAAAGACGGUCUUGCUGUCACUUAUAGAUGGAUCCGCGCUGCAUUAGCUAGUUGGUAAGGUAACGGCUUACCAAGGCAACGAUGCAUAGCCGACCUGAGAGGGUGAUCGGCCACACUGGAACUGAGCCACGGUCCAGACUCCUACGGGAGGCAGCAGUAGGGAAUCUUCCGCAAUGGGCGAAAGCCUGACGGAGCAACGCCGCGUGAGUGAUGAAGGUCUUCGGAUCGUAAAACUCUGUUAUUAGGGAAGAACAUAUGUGUAAGUAACUGUGCACGUCUUGACGGUACCUAAUCAGAAAGCCACGGCUAACUACGUG